GCUAUAGUGAAUGUGUGCCAUUAUUCCAACAGACAUAUGUAUUUUCAGUUUAAUCAAUGUUGGUGGCAUUGUUUCAUAUUUGAUAUUUCUCUGUGGGUGCCUGUUAAUUAUGCCCCUACGGGUCGCUGAGGAUUCCUGUCACAUUGUCCGUAGCUACUCAGCUUUUAAAUGCCGGUAGUGAUUCAGGUUAGCAGGUUUAUGUUUAACAUCCUUGUCCUUGCU